AUCUCUCUGGAGAGUCCCCGGCAUGGGGCGCCGAAGGUGUACGGCAGAAAAGAGCUGCCAAUCUCUCAGGCAAAAGGACAGGGU
rnacentral:ncRNA from 1 species